UUGAAACAAAAACUCUAGAGAACUGUAACUUGUACGAUUGAAGGAAGCAUUAGUGAAAUUCUUUUCUUUAUUCCUUCAAUUCGACAAAUCUCAGUUGUAUAAGUUCUCGUUUCCGAUUUUGUACUUGGUUCUUUACUGAGCUCCUCCUGUUCCAAAGCAGAAAAUGUCCAACGCGUUUGAAAUUUCGUAACAGAUGAAGCGACAAAAUGGACGCCAUAGACGCAGUGUUCGAUCCGCUAAGAGAGUGAGUCAAUAAGAGCGAUCGCCUCGUCAAGAAGUGCCGCAAGCCCAAUCGCUCACGCGAUUCUGUAGGGCGAUGGUUUAGAAUUCUCGAAGGUGACAUUUCGUACAUAUUUAGGGGGUUCGUGGUGACGGGAUUCAUCUCUUAGUGAAGACAUCUUCAUCCUUAUCACAACAUCAUCGUUGGAUCUGGCUAGAUUAGGUCUCGCUCUUCCUGAUCGAUCUGCUAAAGGACUCUCCAAAUCUCACAUCUACGCUCAAAUCUCACAGAUUAGGUCUCGCUCUCCCCUGAUCGAUCUGCUAAUGGACUCUUCAGCAUAACGUAGUUCGCCAGAUCCGUCUCCGUGUUGCGGUCUGUUGUCCUGUCUCGAAACUGAAAGCCUCAUCUGUUCGUUACGUUGAGAAAGCGUCACUCUCUCGCAUUCCACAAACGCUUCAUGAGUGUGACACAAGCUUGAAAUGGUCAAAUAGGGUCCCAAAUACACAGUUCAUAGAAGUGGGACAAUCCAUGGCAUCCAGUGUAAUUGGUUGUUAGGGCAUCCCUGUUUGCCAGGAUUGAGAUCAUUAAAAAAAUCCAAACUAAUAUACCUGGCACAAAUAGCUAAAUAUCAUCUUGGAAACCAAUGAUGUUGUUGAGGGUCCCAAAUACACAGUUCAUAGAAGUGGGACAAUCCAUGACAUCCAGUGGUAUGCUUCUACUCUCUUGUUUAAUUAUCUCUCCCCCUCCCUGUCUCCCCCCCCCCCUCCCUCUCUGUGAUUUCUAACUUCAACAUGUCAUAUUCUAGUAAUCGGUUGUUAGGGCAUCCCUGGUUGCCAGGAUUGAGAUCAUUUAAAAAAUCCAAACUAUAUACCUGGCACAAAUAGCUAAAUGUGAUCUUUUUCAUUAUCAGUCACGGGCGCACACAACAAAAAAGUUCGUUAAAAACCUGUAAUUUGAAAGAUCUUCCCCUGUAGAAUAAAUGGGCGUCUUUUUUGUUUCGUUAUUUUGGACUAGAUUAUUUAAUUGUCACUGAAGUAGUUAUCGACUUUAAUUGUCACUAAAGUGGUUGUUGACUUA